rnacentral:rRNA from 1 species
UAAUACGUAGGGCGCGAGCGUUGUCCGGAAUUAUUGGGCGUAAAGGGCUUGUAGGCGGUUUGUCGCGUCUGCCGUGAAAUUCCCUGGCUUAACUGGGGGCGUGCGGUGGGUACGGGCAGGCUUGAGUGCGGUAGGGGAGACUGGAAUUCCUGGUGUAGCGGUGGAAUGCGCAGAUAUCAGGAGGAACACCGGUGGCGAAGGCGGGUCUCUGGGCCGUUACUGACGCUGAGGAGCGAAAGCAUGGGGAGCGAACAGGAUUAGAUACCCUGGUAGUCCAUGCUGUAAACGUUGGGCACUAGGUGUGGGGACCGUCCUUGGUUUCUGCGCCGUAGCUAACGCUUUAAGUGCCCCGCCUGGGGAGUACGGCCGCAAGGCUAAAACUCAAAUGAAUUGACGG